GGAGGAUAAGUGGAAGUUUCAAGUUUCAACCCUAAACCCUAGAAUCCGCUUUCCUUCUCAAAUUCCAUCAAACGAAAAUGCAAAGUAUGAGGAGUCUGAUUUCAAGCAGCGGCAUGAGGAGGAUUUUACAAUCAUCAAAAGCAUCAUCAUCAGUAAUCGCAUCUCGUUCUUACUCUCUCAUUCCGAUGGUGAUUGAGCAUUCCUCCCGAGGCGAAAGAGCCUACGACAUUUUCUCUCGUCUUCUCAAAGAGAGAAUCGUUUGCAUCAACGGACCCAUCAAUGACGACACUGCCCACGUUGUCGUCGCUCAGCUCCUCUUCUUAGAGUCUGAAAACCCUUCCAAGCCUAUUCACAUGUAUCUUAACUCUCCCGGUGGACAAGUCACUGCAGGCCUUGCAAUUUAUGAUACCAUGCAAUACAUUCGAUCUCCAAUUAAUACCAUUUGUUUGGGUCAAGCUGCAUCGAUGGCUUCCUUGCUUUUAGCUUCAGGUGCCAAGGGGGAGAGGCGGGCACUACCAAAUGCGACGGUCAUGAUUCAUCAGCCGUCUGGAGGGUACAGUGGGCAGGCAAAGGAUAUGACGAUUCACACAAAGCAGAUAGUUCGGGUCUGGGAUUCGCUGAAUGCUUUGUAUUCAAAGCACACGGGGCAGUCAGUAGACAUAAUUCAAAAGAAUAUGGAUAGAGAUUACUUUAUGACCCCGGAAGAGGCAAAGGAAUUUGGUAUAAUUGACGAAGUUAUUGAUCAAAGACCAAUAUCUUUGGUGACUGAUGCUGUUGGGAAAGAAGGCAAAGAAGGGAAAGAAGGCAAAGAAGGGAAAGAAAAAGGUUCAAGUUAGGAUUGAGGGUGUAAAAUCUUCAUGAGUGAAAAAGAGGGCCGCUUUGUAGAGCACAUACAAAAAGCUGAUCUUGGUCCAUUCCUCACAGCUUGACUUAUUCUUUGCAUACUGAUGCAGCCAUUGAAAAGAAUGUUGUUAUUAAUUUCCGUCAAAUUGACUACAUUAUCUUUCAAUUUGGUGAGCAAGUUGGCACAUACAAUUAUGGAUCCUGGUUUAUGAUUAUCCUGGAUUUGGUUAUAAAUAAGCAGGACUGUGCUGGAUUUUAUGUGAGCUAUUGAUGAAUGUUUACUCUUUAUUUGGUAAAUUUGUGGUAAAGAAGCUAAAAUCUAUGAGAUAUGUUGGGUAUUUUAGUGUUGUGUGAAAUACAUUAAGUACUUUUCAGAGUUGAUCAACUUGAUUGUGAGGGUUGAUGUUUUACA